UGUCUCUCCAUUUUUUUUUUUUUUUGGGGGGGGGGGGGGGGCAAUUCUAGACUUUUCCAAGAUUGGGGGUGGUCCGGACCCCCUUGGAACCCCCGGGAUUUACGCCUAUGCGUAGACGCCUCAUUGAGCGCUGAGUCCUACGUUACGUCACCGCCAUCUUGUAGCGGUCGGAGCUCCCAAGUCAUGCGCAGUGUGGGCUUGUUUCAACCGUUUUACAAAACAAACUGGAUUCAUUGUCAUUACCUUCCACAGCUUUAGCCUGAGUACCAGGACAUCUCAGAACUCAUUGGACUUCUCCCAGUUUGACCAGCAGACUGAACCUCCUGCCUGUGGCCAGUGUUACCAGUAUAAUAUAAAUGAAUAAAUUUGUGUUUUAUUCCACACUUUUAUUCUUUCACUUUUUGUGUAUUUUUAAGAGAAAUAGCUCAAUCUGAAGUAUUAGUAUAUUAAGACAACUUAUGUAAUGAAAUAAAAAUAAUUUACUCUGUUAGAAUAUUUUCACUCUUUGUCUUUGCUGUCCAUAGCAGAGUUGAGUUGUACUGUAAUAUUUUUUUCUGAAAAAAGCAAGAAAAUAUGUAGCUAAUGUUUGACAAUGACUGAUUUAUCAAAUUUUAUUGUCUUUAAAAUAAAAUGUCACAAAACAAAAGGAAAUAAUUAUUUUUCUUGAUAUCUUGAAAUGUUCAAUGUACAUUAAAUUGUAGAACCAUGUAAAUCUGUUCUUGAAUAAAACACUGUAAAAGUA